UGGUCCAUUUUCCAAAGAGCCCCUGUCCACUGCAGACUCAAACACCAGAGCCAGGGGGAGUCCUCUAACCCAGCAACUCCCCCACCUCCCCAGACCCUGCAAAGAAUCCUGCCUCUCACCCACAAACCACAAGUGCAGAAACUACCAGCGGCCAAGUUUGCCUCACGACCUACCGGUGUGGCCACUCGGCAGGUGAAACUUAAAACCAAGGUAGAGACGGACUCACCCAUGCCCUUGCUGAGAAGAUGAGAACUAAGCGUCAGAGGGAAGGAGUCCCAGGUGGUGUGUAGAAGACCGAGCCCUCCUGUGACCACACUGACGAGGAUCAGAGCUAUCGCGGCCACACUGACCGUUGCCCGUGCUCGUUCAGCCAGCCCACCCGCCCCUCUAGGGCUCUGUCCGGGCAAUCGAUACUGUAUGGAAGUGCUAGACCCUAUCUCCAUCAGUGGCCUUGAAGACUUGGCUGGGUUGAACUCCCCUCUACCGAGCCUGAGAGGAUCCUGCUAUGUCGUCUCAGUGUUCCUGACAGAGUACUGGGACUUCCUUGCCCAUACAGCAGGACCACCAGGCUGAGGCCCAACCACACAGUACCGCCAGCGUGAGGCCCAAACAUGCAGGACCACCAGGGUAUGACCAAACAACACAGCACCACCAGACUGAGGCCCAGCAUGCAGGACCGCCGUGUAAGGCCCCAGCACGAAGGACCAGCGGGUAAGGCCCCAGCACACAGGACCACCAGGCUGAGGCCCCAGCACGUGGGAUCACCGGGUAAGGCCCCAGCACUCAGGACCACCGGGUAAGGCCCCAGCACGCGGGACCACCAGGCUGAGGCUCCAGCACUCAGGACCACCGGGUAAGGCCCCUCCUCAAUGCUCUGCCUUCUCAGCUCCUGGUGAUGGACCGUCUCCCACAGAUGUGAUGACUCUCCUCCCAUUCUUCCUUAAUUAGGUUCCAUAAAGUAUCUCCUGCCGUGAGUCCUGGUUCAGUAAUUACUGUAUCUUUCAGGUUCAAGGAAACCUGCAUCUUUCCUUUUAGUAAUUUAACAGAAUAUUUCACACUGUCAGGGCUAAAUGCCUUCCAGGUCCCCCAGACUCUCCCGACAGUCUCGCACUAUUGUUUGCAAUCCCGGCAAAGGCUGAUUUUCCUCUAGUCCCUUUCUGGGAGAUGGUUGGGUCAGGUUUUUGCUGCUUACAUUUCCCAUAAUUCUCCUCAUUUCCUAGUCCUGCCUAUCUUCCUCGCCUCUAUUGGCUACAGUGUUUUACUCAUCAACCAAUAAGAGAAACAUAAAUACAGAAGGACAUCCCCUAUCAAUCAGUGUUACUUACAGGAAUUAUGAGUGAGGGGUGAGUUAUGGGAGCAUAAAUGACUCAAAGACAGCUGUGCCACCAAAAGCCCGUCCCAGCAUGGGGGGACAGCUCACAAAAGCUGGAAAUCUGACGUGCCUUGCACAGCCUGCAGACAGAUCAGUGGGUUGGAGAGUGUCCUUUCCAGGUGGCUCACUUGGUCUCAGUUUCUUCCAGGCAGCUCAGCUUGUCUGAGAGUGUCUCCCACAGAAUUUACUGUUCAUAUGUACUUGGGAGAGGGAGGAGCCUAGUGAAUCUGGUCAGUUUCAGGGACUUCCUGACGCUAAUUUGAGUUGUUUACUUCCUGUCUUAAGGAAGUAAGGUUUUUGUCUCAGAGGAGACUGCUGCACAACAUCAUACAGGGCCAGUGCCUACUCUCCUGGGGCUAUAACACACAGGGCCUGCACUGGGACAUCACACACACACACACACACACACACACACACACACACACAUAUCCCUUCUGUAUUAGCAACUUUCCUUGUUGCUGUGACAAAAACACCAGACAAAAGCAACUUAAGAAGGGCUGAUUAAUUAAUAUAUUUUUUAAUUUAAGUGUUUUCCUGACAUGUGUGUCUGUGUACCAUGCACGUGUCUGGUACUUGUGGAGAUCAAGGAGAAGGGCAAUGGAUUCCUCAGAACUGGCAUAACAGAUUGCUGUGAGUUGCCAUGAGGGUGCGGGCAUUGAACCUGAGUCCUCUGUAAUCGCAGCCAGUGCUCUUAAACCCCAGAGCCAUCUCUCCAGCCCUAGAAAUGCUUAUUUUUGACUCACGGUUUGAGGGUACAGUUCAUCAUGGUGGAGAGGUCAAGGCAGCAGGGCCCCGAGACAGCUAAGUCACACUGCAUCUGCAGUUAGCAAGGAGAGAGGGCGUGUGAGGGUGGGGGAGAG